GUGAGUCCCGCCAUCACUGAUGCUGCGCCACGCUGGACGCUGCUCCCAGUUUUUCCUGUUGCCAGUGUCAGCAACAAGAGGUCACUGGCUCCAGCUCUUGGACACCGCCUCUUACCUGCAAGAAGGAUUGAGGCACUACUGGACGAAUUUUCCUUGAUAAGUGUGGGUUACAGUACGUCGAGGGGCGUACACCACCUGCAGGAGCUCGUCGAGGGACAUACACACCACCUGCAGGUA